GGCUCCUGAGGCCCCGGGGGGCUCCUGCCACGGACCCAAAGCAUCCCCGUGCUGGUGAAACCCUCGCUGCUUCUCUGCCUGGAUCGUGGAACAUGCUUGUGGGCAGGCUGAGGAUAUCCAGGUGCUCCCCAAUACCCUGUGACAGAGUUACGAAAAUUCCUCCAUUUCCGAUCUUUUCUCUGAGACAAUGCACUAACCCUCAGUCCUGUCACCUCCAAAAGCUUCAUCAAUUUUGACUUAAUUUUCAGUUUGGAAAAUGGCACAAAAUAAAUUCUUCUAUGCCACA